CCUACGGGAGGCAGCAGUGAGGAAUAUUGGUCAAUGGACGAGAGUCUGAACCAGCCAAGUAGCGUGAAGGAUGACUGCCCUAUGGGUUGUAAACUUCUUUUAUAUGGGAAUAAAACGUUCCACGUGUGGGAUUUUGUAUGUACCAUAUGAAUAAGGAUCGGCUAACUCCGUGCCAGCAGCCGCGGUAAUACGGAGGAUCCGAGCGUUAUCCGGAUUUAUUGGGUUUAAAGGGAGCGUAGGUGGAUUGUUAAGUCAGUUGUGAAAGUUUGCGGCUCAACCGUAAAAUUGCAGUUGAAACUGGCAGUCUUGAGUACAGUAGAGGUGGGCGGAAUUCGUGGUGUAGCGGUGAAAUGCUUAGAUAUCACGAAGAACUCCGAUUGCGAAGGCAGUUCACUGGACUGAAACUGACACUGAGGCUCGAAAGUGUGGGUAUCAAACAGGAUUAGAUACCCCAGUAGUC
rnacentral:rRNA from 1 species